GCCAAGCGGUAAGGCCGUGGAUUGCAUCCUCUAUCCCCCAGUUCAAAUCUGGGUGCCGCCUCCA
rnacentral:tRNA from 1 species